AAGCAGGAAAAUUUCAUCUCUGCAAUUGUCUCUGGGAUAAAAAGAUCUCCCUCUGGCCCCAACACUUUCUGUUCACAUGCAGAUCCCAAACUGAAUUCAGCACCUAACAGCACAUCAUCUCUUUGGAAGACAGACACCCUCUCAGGAGAAGGAAAGAAAUGGUGUGGUCCUUUAUGGAAGCUUGGAGUACCAAGAAGCUGGUGCCAAAUCCCUGCUUUCCUUCUGAACAGAACAGAUGAAGACAUCUUCAAGCCAGCCGUUACCAUUCAUCCAUCUGUCCUUGGAGCGUGGCAGGGGACUGGGAGCAGGUUUCUGCUUGUACCAGCACCAGCAGCUGAAGUAUCUGUUCCACUUCACUGGAGUAACAAAAGGGCUUACUGGGUUUUGUUUUAAAAAGUAUUUUAUUUUCUUUUUUUUUUUUUACUUCUUGUCAAGCCUAUCGCUUAGUCAGUAUUAAAAGAAAAUGCAGUAACAGCUCUGUUCAGCUGCCAAAACCUAAUCAACACAAAGAAGUUUUCAAGUAGCUGUCAGACAGGAUUAUGAUAUUGAUCCUAACUAUGUGCAUGUUCCAGGAAAAGGAGCAUCUCUUGAACUAAAAGUCAGAGGGUGACAGGUAAUGAAAGAAAAAUAUUUUACAGCUCGAAGGAUGAUUUUGUCCUCACAUUAGGAGAUCUGCCUAAUUACAGCUGAGAGAAAAAGCAGCACCUGUGCAUGUUUUGCUGAUGUCUUACCUUGUACUCUGAACCCCUCAUCUCUUACAAAUUAGCAGGUACUGAGAGAGUCGCAGCAUGAACAUAAGGGUUUGAGAAACAUCCAUGCCAUGAGGGAGUAAUAUGUGUGAUUUAAUGGGUAGCUCUCCCUGUUUGAGACAGUAGUGAAUCAAGAAUUUUAGGAGUUUGUCAAGGAGAGUGACUUUGGGAUCAGAGACAAGCUCAAGGCUAUCCGAAUUUCUGAUCAUUACUGAUCAUAUGACAUUAUUUAUAACACCAGUGAAAUUGACUUCUGGGUCUUACCCCCAAGUGGUGAGACAGGUAACAGUCUGGGUUUGAGUACAGAUAAAAUCAGAUGGGUUUGGAUUCAUCAGGAUAAAUGCAAACUACAGCAGAUAUUUGAAGCAGGACAGGAGAAUCAUAGACUACAGGUCUAAAUGUUGUCCCACUUGUCCCAUGUCUCAAGGUGCAUAAGAUGAAUCCCAUCUACAAGGACUCCAAGUUCUAUGUUCCAACACACGAAAGAAAGGAAGAGCCCUUACUUCUGAGGAGCCCAGAGAUAUACUGGAAAUUCACAGAGAAUCAAAUUCCAUGUUUGUUUAUUUAUCUGUCACCCAUCAUGGUUCAAAAGAGUAACAUCAGUACUCCAACAAGAGGCACAUUUGAGGGAUAAAAUAUGGGGUUUGAGGGAUAAAUCCAAAAAUGAGCUAAUAUAGAUUCAGAUUUAGUUGCUUUCAACUUUGGUUUAAAUUUGUUGGGGCCUUUUUUAUGCAAUAUAAUUACCAUUUUAUGUACAGCGCAAAGAGCCCAAGAAAGGAGCUUUGUGCAGUACUGCCAUAGGCACUGUGAGUAACUGCAGUCCUCUGGACAUCCCCCAGCAAUCCCACCUGUCUUGCCUCCCUACCCACCUGCAUAUCCCUCUCUGCCUGACUCCUGUCACAGAGGGGUAGCCUAUUUUGCCUAGCAACUACCAUGUGAGUGAUAAGACAUAUUAAUAACAAAUAAAUUAUGCUCUAAAUUACAACCCCCCUAAAGCCAGAGUGUAACUCAGGUCAGAAUCUGCAUUCAAUCUUGUAGUCCUGGGUUUUCCAGAUACUGCUUUUGGUCUCAUGGGUCCCCAGGAAAGUCAGUUAGCCUCUCAGUGACUCAUGUUCCCCAUCUCUGGUGAAGCAAUUAUGGUUUCCACCUACUGUGCAAGAGAUGGGAAGGAUUUGUUUCUCAAGUAUCACAGAGAGCCAGAAAGAAUGUCCUGGAGAAGUGCUGUGAUAGCAGUACUGUACAAUGCUGUGCAAAAAUCAGUGAAAUGCUUUGGCUUGCAAGGAGUGUCAAAAUUAUAUACUUGUUAUUUAAGAUGCACUAUCUUACAGAAUUUUCUGCACCUAAAGUCUAGGGCACAUCACAAUCCUCCUGGUUUGUUUGUUUGUUUGUUUGUUUUUAUUCAGGAACAAGAUAUAUUUUAAAUAACUGUCCCUGGAUCCUUUGUAGACACUGUUGGUUGUCACAGAACUGUGGUAAAGAAAAUAUGUUAUUUUAGUGUGUGUUUUUCCCUGUGUAAUGAGCUACCACAUCGGUCAAUUUUGUUCUCUGUAAUACAUCAAAGCAAUGGGAGUGCAUUAAGAACCAAAUGAGGGUCUUGGCCUCUCAUCUUAGUUUUAUCUCCCCCAAUAAUAAUGAAGCUGGGUAACUUCCUAGAAAAUAACAAAUUGAUAUAAACAGCACUGGUUUGCCAGCUACUGUCAUUGCUGAUGGAUAAUCCUACAGCCUGAAUGGGUUGUCCACAUAGCUAUUUGUCAGCACUGUCUGUGAGGAGCUCUGUGAUAACACACUGUGCUAAAUUCACUCUCGUGUCUACAAAGGAAUAAAAAAUGGCUCAUUUGAGUCAAUAGAUGUCACACAGAGUAAACAACAACAAAACCAGGAUCUGGUUAUAUUGCAACCUUGCCAAAAAGAUACCCCCGAUGCUGAAUGGGUUGUUACUGAUUUAGGCACCUGGAAUCUGGGUACGUGCUAGUAAGUUUAGUUCACUGUUGGUUUGUUCUUUCUCUCAUAAGAGUUAAAUAUGUUUACUGCUUGCAUUAAAUGCCUACAUUUCUAUUAUUGCUGACAAAACUGACAAUGAACAUUCAUCUCCUUGUAAUCUUAUUUAUAUCAAAUGGCACAUUUGCCGAGGUGCAUGCUUCUCUUAAAAAAUAAAGAAGUGUUGAAUUAUG